AGAAUGACAACAAAACAGAGGGUGCUCAUGAAGCAAAACAACAGCAGAAAGAAAAGAUGCAAGAACAUAUUGGCCAAGAGAAACCAGUUGCUGCUGAAACAAACCCAAAAGAGCAUGCCAAUCAAAAGAAGACAAAUCUUCAAGUAUUGGAAAGUGAUGAUGAUUUCCAGGAAGAAUCAAUCCCAAACAAGCCACUCACCAUUUCAUGCCGCAAAACAAACAAGGUUUGGCAUAGCCUAUCCAAAAAAGACCAAGACCAAAUUCAACUCAUCAACAACACACAAUCAAGUGCUUGUGUCUGGUCUGGCAGCGAAGAUGAAAAUUGCGUAUACUUUUGAGAUAUAUGCAGAUUGACCAACAGGGAACCCUUAUAUGGGAAUGUCAUUGAUGCCUUCUCAGAAAAGCAAUUGGCACUCCAACCAACCAUUGAAGAAUUUGAGAAAAACGAUCUAGUCUUUGCAAGCAAUCCAUACGCAGGAAGAUCUUACGUUUUCUCAACACUCAUCAAUACUCCACUACAAAACCAAGAUCAAGCACUGAGAGAAAAACUGAUGGACAGCCAUUUUCCAGAAGCAAUGAAAAACAGAUAUAUCCAUUUCCCAAUCAACCACGACAACCAUUGGACAAUUGUGGUCUUUGACAAUGCUGAUGGAAUAUGGAGACACUAUGACUCUUUGAGACCA